UUGCAUGGCAGCCCCUCCUCUGGCAGAGGGCAGGGGAGAAAAGGAGGCCUGGGCAGCCCAGCCCCACUGUGGGCUCAGGGCUGUGAGCACCAUGGCCUGGACUCCUCUGCUCCUGGCGCUCCUCUCUCACUGCACAGGGUCCCUCUCCCAGUUUGCUGUGACCCAGCCACCCUCCCUCUCUGCCUCUCCGGGAGCCACGGCCAGACUCACCUGCACCCUGAGUGGUAUUUCCUAUUCGUUUAGUGCUUAUGGGAUAUCCUGGUACCAGCAGAAGCCAGGGAGCCCUCCCCGGUAUCUCCUGGAAUAUAAAUCAGACUCCAGUAAGAACCAGGGCUCCGGAGUCCCCAGCCGCUUCUCUGGAUCCAAAGACGCCUCGGCCAAUGCGGGGCUCCUGACCAUCUCGGGGCUGCAGCCUGAGGACGAGGCUGACUAUUACUGUGUAACCUGAUGAAAAUCUGAUUCUCACAGUGACACACGCAGAUGGGGAAGU